GGGCGGGGAUUUACAUCUCAUUGGCUCAGGAGAUUAUCUCUGUCUUCGGAUUGGUGUUAAGAGUUUGUAAAGGCAUAACGUGAUUUUUACUUUACACAUCAUACACAUUCUAUGAUUUUACUCAACACGCAACCAUAUCAUAAUACUGCUACUAUUUAUCAUCUCCUACACUGAUCGCAGAUUACUUUUGUGGACUCUUUGUUGGGCUUCCAGAGGAUGAGCCCUCACCUUCUUCUUCUACAUCAUCUGGGAAACACAAAGAAACAUAGGUCUGUCUUCAGUCAGGAACAUCUAGGCCUCAAUAAAAAUGCCUCAAUGCCCACAUUGUUAAAAAUCUCUGCAAUAAAUGUAUAAGCCAAACUGCA